UUCCCCUGGCGAUGGGCAAAUAGAGCCCCUGUUGGUGGUAUUGUUCUUAUAUCAGUCAGGGGCAGAGCAGAUGGCAGUGCUUUGUUUAUCCUAGCUUGAUGCCUGGCUUUGUGACCAAAGCUAUCUUAUGCCUAGGAUUCAUAA